GAGAGACCUGAAAACACAGGUUUGAAGAAAUCCUUAAAGGCACUAAAUCCCUCUCUAUUAAUCUGUUAGCGUGAGCAUAUAAACAUAUGAAUUCUUUUGUUAGGUUCUAGCAAAAGCGAAGGUUAAUGUUGAUGAGAUACAACCAGUGUCUUGGGCGGAUAUGAUCUCUGUCGCUGGAUCUGAAGCA